UACAGAGGGUGCAAACGUUGCUCAGAAUCAUUGGGCGUAAAGCGCACGUAGGCGGCCCCAGCAAGUGGGGGAGUGAAAGCCCUCGGCUUUAACCGAGGAAGUGCUUUCCAAACUACUGGGCUUGAAUACUGGAGAGGGUCGCGGAAUUCCCGGUGUAGAGGUGAAAUUCGUAGAUAUCGGGAGGAACACCAGUGGCGAAGGCGGCGCCUGGACAGAUAUUGACGUGAGGUGCGAAAGCGUGGGAGCAAAAGG
rnacentral:rRNA from 1 species